CCUACGGGUGGCAGCAGUGGGGGAUAUUGCACAAUGGGGGGAACCCUGAUGCAGCGACGCCGCGUGGGUGAAGGAGGGUUUCGGCGCGUAAAGCUCUAUCGGCAAGGAAGAAGAUGACGGUACCUGACCAAGAAGCCCCGGCUAACUACGUGCCAGCAGCCGCGGUAAUACGUAGGGGGCAAGCGUUAUCCGGAUUUACUGGGGGUAAAGGGGGCGGAGGCGGCACUGGAAGCCAGGAGUGAAAGCGCGGGGGCCAACCCCGGGACUGCUUUUGAAACUGCAGGGCUGGAGUACAGGAGGGGCAGGCGGAAUGCCUAGUGUAGCGGUGAAAUGCGUAGAUAUUAGGAGGAACACCGGUGGCGAAGGCGGCCUGCUGGACUGUAACUGACGUUGAGGCCCGAAAGCGUGGGGAGCAAACAGGAUUAGAUACCCUAGUAGUC
rnacentral:rRNA from 1 species